GGGUCAGUAGGUUGGUCGUGCCACCGGUACGUACUGGUCUCACUGAUUCCUCCUUCCCGAAGAACCGUGAUGCCAUUAAUUUGGUGUUGCGGGGAAACAGGACUGUUACUUUGAAAAAAUUAGAGUGUUUAAAGCAAGCUAACGCUUGAAUACAUUAGCAUGGAAUAAUGAAAUAGGACGAUCGAUCCUAUUUUGUUGGUUUCUAGGAUUGACGUA
rnacentral:rRNA from 1 species